UACGAAGGGGGCUAGCGUUGUUCGGAGUUACUGGGCGUAAAGUGCGCGCAGGCGGUCCUUUAAGUCAGGGGUGAAAGCCCAGAGCUCAACUCUGGAACUGCCUUUGAAACUAGAGGACUUGGGUACGGGAGAGGUGAGUGGAAUUCCGAGUGUAGAGGUGAAAUUCGUAGAUAUUCGGAAGAACACCAGUGGCGAAGGCGGCUCACUGGCCCGUUACUGACGCUGAGGCACGAAAGCGUGGGGAGCAAACAGG
rnacentral:rRNA from 1 species